rnacentral:rRNA from 1 species
GACGAACGCUGGCGGCGUGCCUAAUACAUGCAAGUAGAACGCUAAGGGAGGGCUUUUCUUCUCUGGAUGAGUGGCGAACGGGUGAGUAACGCGUGGGUAACCUGCCUGUUACCGGGGGAUAACUAUUGGAAACGAUAGCUAAUACCGCAUAAUAGCAGUUGUUGCAUGACAACUGUUUGAAAGGUGCAGUUGCACCACUACCAGUUGGACCUGCGUUGUAUUAGUUAGUUGGUGGGGUAACGGCUCACCAAGGCGACGAUACAUAGCCGACCUGAGAGGGGGAUCGGCCACACUGGGACUGAGACACGGCCCAGACUCCUACGGGAGGGAGCAGUAGGGAAUCUUCGGCAAUGGACGGAAGUCUGACCGAGCAACGCCGCGUGAGUGAAGAAGGUUGUCGGAUCGUAAAGCUCUGUUGUAAGGGAAGGACGAGUGUGAGAGUGGAAAGUUCACACUGUGACGGUAGCUUACCAGAAAGGGACGGCUAACUACGUG